ACCAAAAGGAACUGUUCAAUGUGUGAGGGUGAGUGAACACUGAAAGCUUCCCAGGUCCAUCUUGCUCCUCUCUCCUCUCGGGCUACCCAGCCCCGGUUCUCAUUGACUCUCUACAAAACUGGAUGCAAGCCUAGUGUGUCCAGAUGGCUGCCACAGACCCUCCUUGGACACUAUGGCAGACUCUUCUCCACGGGAGGAGGAUGGGACAGGCCUGGAGCAGUGAGUGACAGCAAUAUCUCCUUCUCCUCCCAUCUCAUGUGACCAUCACCUCAGCGAGCUGCACCUUUGGCUUAGAGGAAAAUUAUAUGGGCUCAGAGCACCCGCCCCCCACUGUGGCAGGGGUUGGGGGUGAAGAGAAUCAGUCACCACAGCAUCUUCUGCUCAGCCUCCAACACACAUCACCAACAUCACCAGGAGAUGCCUUCCUCCAGAGCCCACCCCACUCCAUCCUGCUCUGGGAACCCGCCUCACUCUACCUUGUCAGCUCUGCCCUCUUCCCUGGACACACACAAAACCACCCUGUUUUAUAUUCUACAGUGUACAGGAAGGAAGAAAGAGGUCAUUAGAUGUCUAAUGAAUUAAUACAUUAAGGACAACUGAAUGAGCAAUAUUCCUGUCUUGAGGCCUUUUGUUUUGAAAGUACAACUCUCAGUGGCAGAGAGAAGAAUUCAGCACAGAGCAGACACACAGACAUGUCCGAACCACCACCCACUGCCCAAGGAUGAAACACUGGUGGACUAUAACUCUUUUCUAGACUUAUCCUUUUCUGUUUAAAAGAUUCAUGCUGUCACUGUCUGAAGAACCUCCUUGGCAUACACAUCCUAAGAGUAGCUGUUUUGGCAACGCCCUGUCCUUAUCAAGAUCACCUUGAAACUAGGGUUUCAUCAUGAAAGUUUUCACUGGGCUUUAUCUCCAAGACACACACUCAGAUGGAGUGGAGUUGGGACUCCUCCAGGACAGUGAUCCAGUUCAUACCGACCAGUCCCAGUUCCUCCGCCGUAAUGUUGUUUUAAGCCUAGAAACUGGGCAGCCAUCUGUGGCCGGACUCUCUCAGGGAGUCCAGCUCUUCGGUCCCUGCUAGACAGUGGAGGAAGACUCCAGGCCCAUGGAGGCUCAAGGACACAGCUUUCCUCUACACUGCAGAGCCUCAGGAAUCCGGUGUUGGAUACAGACGCGGAGUCCCUGAGCCUUGGUGCAAGCCACGUGUUUUACGGAGAAAGGAGAACUGAGGCGUGUUCAGGUGGCAGCCAUCAACAACAGCGCAUGGCCACUCGGUCAGUUUGAGCCCUAGAUCUCCUGCCACUCUGUGCAGACGAACUUUUUGUCUCUCUUCCUUGUGACAUCAUGCUUCGCUCUUCAGCACCCUACCUAGGAGGCUGGCGGUGCUCUGCACACAGGGGAAUGAGCAGUUGAACCACAGGAUUCUCCUGGGCCAGCCCUGUGUGAUCCAUCAGAGCCUCGUCCUAAAGAGGUCUCUGUGCCCAAGCACCUCAAGAUCAUGGAAGGCACGUGCACCCAAAAGGCAGACCGUGCUCACCUCUGAAUCCUGCUCUGAAAGAGAUCUCCACUCUUUCCUGCUGGAGUGACCCGAGGGACCUGCCACCAUCCAGUAUCCUGCCAGACCACUGCACAAGCAGGUGUCACUUAGAAUGUGCUCGCAGGCCACCUCUGAAUCCUGCUCUGAAAGAGAUCUCCACUCUUUCCUGCUGGAGUGACCCGAGGGACCUGCCACCAUCCAGUAUCCUGCCAGACCAUUGCACAAGCAGGUGUCACCAGCAGAAAAACCCUUAGAACUGUUUCCAGUGGGUGUGGCCUGUCUUCUCCCUGGCAUUUCCUUGGCAGGAGAACCCUGCACCGGAGUACAGGCGGUGUGCAGGGGACAUGGGCCCUGGGUUACAGGACAGCAAAAGAGAGAGCAUAGACUCUCCCGCUCUUGCUUCUCAGCCUCACACGGCAGCCCGGGGACACCACGUUCUGCCAAUACAGACAGGAUCCCCAUUAUGAGGCCCAGAGAAGUCAUCCACCUGACAUAAGCUGGUCCACCCAGCUCUCUCAGUGCCACUCUUCCUGGCCAUGCCCAUGAAGGUGCCCUGCUCCUCACAAGGCAAUGGUGUUGCCACCAGGCAUGAGGCAAGCCCAUAGCCACAGGGGCAGAGUCAAUGCACAGGAGCCUCGGCCAUCCAUAUCCAUGGUAGGGCCGCUGUUGCCAUGGAGAAAGAGAGGACCCCUGACCUCACGAGUGCCUUUGUACCUGGCCUUCAGCUGACUUAGCAGGACACAGUAUGGCUGGGCUCUGGGGUUAGGAAAGCUGGGUGAAUCCUUCACGCUGGCUGGGCUCAAGCAAACUCCUUAAGCUCCCUAAGUCCCAGGAGACAAGUGUGAGUCGAGGCCUGGAUGAGAUGAUGCCCACGGGCCACCAGCUCAGCAUGUCCCUGUUAAAUGGACAGUGACUGCAGAGCAGGGCCAGAUGACCUAGCUUCUCCCAGCACCGUCUACCACCCACUGGGCAAGGCCCUCAACACAGGCUCUUAGUAGGCAUUCGAUAGCUAUCCUUGGAGCUCAAGGGGAAAAUUGACUUUUUUUGUGCUAUGAGCAGCCAGGGCCUUCGGAUCGAUAAUGGCCUCCGCCUCUGGCUUAUUAAGUGGCAGCCCUAUGCUGCCCAGAAUAGCAGAAGAGGCGGAGAGGGUGUGGAGCCUACAGAUGGCACGUGGCUGGUGCACUGCAAACAGACUGAUGGGGUAGACGCCAACGCCUCUGCUCUGGUCCACUCACCUGGGGGCACUCCCUCCAAGGUGAGAGGAGCUGAUCUCUGCCCACACUUUGCCCUAGAAGAGUUGCCACGUAACCAAGGUACACUUCUGAUCACCCCUACCCCUCUAGGAUCUUAUCUGACACACACACUCCAAGAGCCCCAGCCUGCAAGUUUCUGAAAUCAAAGAUACAUGUUGGUGACAGCUGCGGGUGAGCCGGCAGCCCAGAGGGUAGAAUCCAGGAGGACUCUGCUUGCCUCUUCAAUGCCUGUGCGAACCAGAGAGGCCCAAUUGCCUGGCCCCGUCUAGCCUUGACUGCCCAGCAUCUCUCUGAUGUUCUACCUGGCUUCAUCUGCCACCUCAGGAGCAGCCUCUCUCCAGUCCCUGCUUCUCACUAACCCCAGCCUUUGCAUGACUAUCCGGGCCACCUAGGACUGGUGGAUUGUGAACUGACUCAGGACACUACCAAGUCUUCUGGGCUCUACCAGGGCAGAUUUCCACACUGAGGAAUCUCAGAUGGUCCUGGCUACCACAGGGGGCAUUGUACCCAUUAGUACUAGAGAAUAGAACUUGGUCCAAAAGGACCCCAAGGGUUCCUCUAAGGACCAGGGGCCUGGAAAGACCUCUAGAACACAGAGGCCAAGGGAACACUUCAGUCAAGAAAGGAGGCACACCAGCGUCGGGGUAGCGGCCUGGGAACCAGGACAGUAGAUAGGACAAAAGCCAUGGGUCGAACCGGGUCACUGAUUCUACCGCAUUGCCACCACGCCAGGAGCCCUGUACAGGACCAAGUCUUGUGGAGGAAGACUCCAUCCUAAUGACACAAUUCACAGGUGGGUCUGCCACAAACUACAAGCUCCAAGUGUAUCGUGGUCUUCCUGCCUAGGAGAGUGGGUGACCAAUGUGUCACCUUCACAAAGAAAAUAAGACAGUCAAGACCUCAGCUGUGGUUCCUAUCAGCUGGGGACUCCCACUCACUGCCUCACAGAGGCCCUUGCCCCAGCCAGCUGCGCUGUUUCAAAUGACAAUGGCCCCAGCCAGCAGGAGAUCUCUCCCUCCUCUAGAACCAGCAACAGUUUAAAACAGCUGUCCCCUCUCCCAGAGCUCCUCUCUGGUGCUCAAUCUCCCUCCGUGACCCCUCCCCUCUGAGGGUUUAUGCAAAUCCCAACUUCAGGAUUGUUUCUUAAUGUCAAAAUGCAGGCGGAUGAAUGUCAGAUGCGGCUGCAGACUUGGUUGGGACUGUGCUUGAUCGGCCAGCUUGUAAUUUCCUCCAAACCAGAGGGAUCAGCUUCUAAAGCCUGUCCUCAAUAAACACUUCCUCUCCGCCUGCCUGUCAUCCUGUCCCCAGACUUGGUGACAGCUGCAGGACCCUUAAUCCUUCCUCCACUCACAAACCAAACCCCUAUGGAGCCAGGAGUCAGAGAACUCUGGCCAAUUAAGCAGGGCACAAUCUGGUCCCUGGUAUUACCACCAUCAUCCCACCAGUAGCGCCAAUAGUGUCACCAAGCUCACAGCAUCAUAUCUGUUAGUCAUUGGUUUCCCACGCCCACCAUGCCCACUGUCACCAGAAUUCCUGGAUCCCCACACCCAUCCAGACUUGGCUUACUUUGAAAGUGGAACCAAGGAGCAGUCAGAGGAAUUAACAAAAGGAUAUAUAACCAAUUUAAAGAAGUGGGAAAGACUUGAGCAGCCAUUCUACAUAGAAGGUACAAAUAGCCACCAGCAGGCAAAAAGACAGUCACCAAUCAAUAAAAACAAAUCAGAUCAUGAAACACCCACAUGCCCCCAGGGACGGCUACUAUCACAGCCAGAAAGUGGCCAGAGUCGGUGAGGAUGUGGAGAAACAAUCUGAUGCUCGGCCAGCAGGACACAAAACGGUGCAGCUGGUAUGGAAAAUAGCCUGGUGGCUCUUUGAAAAGUUAACAACCACUGUUGGUCCCAACAACUCAACUUCUGCCUAUCUGUUCACACACACAAAAUUGAAAUCCAGGGCUCUAACAGAGGUUUCUCCACUGCGUGUAUAACAACACUGCUCACAACUGUCAACACACUGUGGACAGUGCAUGGAGCAGAAACAUGCUAAGUUCAUAUGCACUGCAAUUCAGCCAGGAAGGGGACACCCACGGGGUAAGCCCUGAGGACAAGACGCUUGGUGAAAUAACCGGCACGAAAUCCCAAGUGCUGUGUGGUCCCUCUCUCAUGGGGAAUCCUCUCUGGCGGCAGUUCCUUGCAUGGUGUCCGGAGAGCAGCAUUGCACGGUGGCAGAAAGUGUAAUGGAGGCUGGGGAGAGGAAGGGGCGGAGCCUGAGGUGGGACGAGCCCGUGAGUGGCAGUGACAAUGGUGAGACACACAUGCACACACCCAACUGUGCACGCAGAAACACCACCACAGUGAACAGAAGCUGUGCUUUGAGCAGGUUUUUUCUUUGUUCUGUGUUUCGCUUUGUUUGGCUCUGUUUUCUAGAGACAAGGUCCCUCUCACUAGGUGGCCCCAGAUGUCCUUUAACUAGUCCUCCUGCCUCAGCUCCCCAAGUGCUGGUAUUCACCUGUACCAUGAAAAGAAACCUACCCAACAACUGGAAUCUGGUUUUCCGAGAUGUCCCAACAAAGGACACAUCUGCUCCUGCCUCACUCACUCACCCUGGCCUCCUCAGUAUACCAGACACUUCUCCAGUCCCUUCAUUCUGGCAGUUGUCACCCUUCCCAUGGCUAGCCCCAUUCAUAGGGCCAACAACAACAAUCUAUUUUUUC